rnacentral:rRNA from 1 species
CCAAUAGCGUAUAUUAAAGUUGUUGCAGUUAAAAAGCUCGUAGUUGAAUUUCGGGGUCAGUACGCUGGUCGUGCCUUCGGUAUGUACUGGUGUUACUGGUUCCUACCUUCUGACGAACCGUCAUGUCAUUAAUUUGGUGUGGCGGGGAAUCAGGACUGUUACUUUGAAAAAAUUAGAGUGUUUAAAGCAGGCUCGCGCUUGAAUACAUUAGCAUGGAAUAAUGAAAUAGGACGUUCGAUCCUAUUUUGUUGGUUUCUAGGAUUGACGUAAUGAUUAAUAGGGAUAGUUGGGGGCAUUAGUAUUCAAUUGUCAGAGGUGAAAUUCUUGGAUUUAUUGAAGACUAACUACUGCGAAAGCAUUUGCCAAGGAUGUUUUCAUUAAUCAAGAACGAAAGUUAGGGGAUCGAAGACGAUCAGAUACCGUCGUAGUCUUAACCAUAAACUAUGCCGACUAGGGAUCGGAUGAUGUUAAUUUUUUAAUGACUCAUACGGCGCCUUACG